GAUGAACGCUAGCGGCAGGCUUAACACAUGCAAGUCGAGGGGUAUGUUUCUUCGGAAGCAGAGACCGGCGCACGGGUGCGUAACGCGUAUGCAAUCUACCUUUUACAGAGGGAUAGCCCAGAGAAAUUUGGAUUAAUACCUCAUAGUAUUAUAGAAUGGCAUCAUUUUAUAAUUAAAGUCACAACGGUAAAAGAUGAGCAUGCGUCCCAUUAGCUAGUUGGUAAGGUAACGGCUUACCAAGGCUACGAUGGGUAGGGGUCCUGAGAGGGAGAUCCCCCACACUGGUACUGAGACACGGACCAGACUCCUACGGGAGGCAGCAGUGAGGAAUAUUGGACAAUGGGCGCAAGCCUGAUCCAGCCAUGCCGCGUGCAGGAUGACGGUC
rnacentral:rRNA from 1 species